UGCUUUGCGGGGGCUGCCGGGGUGUCCAGUACACCAGUGGACCUUUCAUGUGUGCGUUACAGAACAGUAUGACCAACUUAAUUGUGAUGUGGAGGAGGACUGUUAAUAAGUUACGAGAGAGUUAUGAUAUGACCCUCAACUACAUGAUUUGAUCAAUUUACCAUGAGGAUUAAACCCUGUGGGGAUCUUCAUGCACCAUUGACCUCAGUGAGAAUAAGAAGCAGAAGGCUUUUUCAUUUAGCCGGAUAAUGCCCUCCACCUCUCCUUCUCGCCCAGGCUCCUUGGCUGACAAUGUGACACAUCCCAAACAUCCUCCACCACAACCUUCCUCUCCACCCCAUCCCUUCACCUGACACAAGUUCCAUGCCUGGCCAGGGGAUCAAUCCAUGCAGGAAUAUGUGGCACGAAGCAUCCCUCUUUCAAACAGGACCUAGGAUCCCUCAUUAUCACCUACGACUGUCACACAAACCGAAUGUCACCUUCUGCUGUUCAAAAUGAGGUCUUUCCCUUGUGUGACAUAAUGAUGAUGAUCACACUGCCUGUCAAAAAAGUAUUUCUAAAAACACAAGGAAAUAAUGAAGGUUAUUUUUGAUGCUACAGUUACCUAUAUAUUCCUUUGAUUUCCUCAGUGGACAUGAAGACCUGAACUGUGUGUGUGGGGUUGACGUGUAAACUAGAUAUGUAAUUGGUCAUCACCUGCGGUGUCUCAGACGUGGAGGUGACAUGAGUCCUUGUGGUGUUAUACAGACCAAAGGUCAGCUAAUUCUGAGUGCAUCACAGCUCCCUGAAGUCACAUUCAUCAGACACUGUUCUAUGUCUGCACUAGUCCCAUCAGUUGGAUGUCACUCAUUAUAACCUAGGCUACACUGAACAGCCUGCAUGCCCUUCAUGUUAGAUGUCACACAUAUUGUAUGUAUGAUGCACUGUGAAAGGUAGCUGUCAAGGUAGAUAUCAUAGAGAAAAUAUGUUUAAUGC